GAUGAAGAACGUAGCGAAAUGCGAUAAGUAAUGUGAAUUGCAGAAUUCAGUGAAUCAUCGAAUCUUUGAACGCACCUUGCGCUCCUUGGUAUUCCGAGGAGCAUGCCUGUUUGAGUGUCAUUAAAUUCUCAACCUCAUCAGUUUUGUUAUGAAGCUGUGUGAGGCUUGGAUGUGGGGGUUUGUGCAGGCUGCCUCAGUGCGGUCUGCUCCCCUGAAAUGUAUUAGCGAGUUCCAACUGGGCUCCGUCUAUUGGUGUGAUAAUUAUCUACGCCGUGGAUUGGGCUUAGACUUGCUUCUAAACGUCCGCAAGGACAAUCUUUUGACAAUUUGACCUCAAAUCAGGUAGGACUACCCGCUGAACUUAAGCAUAUCAAUAAGCGUAGGA
rnacentral:misc_RNA from 1 species